rnacentral:rRNA from 1 species
AGGGAGCCAGCCGCCGAAGGUGGGGUAGAUGAUUGGGGUGAAGUCGUAACAAGGUAGCCGUAUCGGAAGGUGCGGCUGGAUCACCUCCUUU